AAAUGCUUACGCGCCGCCAAGUCGACUCACCACACUCGUCUCGCUGGGUCUCGUGAUACUACAGCAUCACGUCUCUCAGUCCAUCUCACGUCUCCUCCUCCAAGCCCUGGAUGUUCACCGGUGUAGUCAGAUGUGGUUUCCUGCUGAAGUCAAUCACCACCUCCUUCGUCUUGCUGGCGUUGAUGUGCAGGUGGUUCAGAGCACAUGUGACAGACAUGGCUGUGGGUGGUGGUUUGUCCUUCAUGGUGUUCCAUAGUUUAACAUUCAUGGCCAGCACCUGUCUGUUGAGCUGUGAUUGGCUCGCAAGGCUGAUAAAUAGCAGCAGUGGGAGUUCCAUCUAGAUGCUGGUUUCCUGGUUUGGCCUUGGUGGUGGCAUGAGUUCUGACCCUGGGGCAUGAGAGUAACUUGGUGGUUGGACCUGGCUGAGGGUGGCUGCCUCCUCCUUUUAUCCUUAUGGUAGCUGGUGGGUGCCAUACAUGGUGUUGUGUAA